AGCCCUUUGUUGAGAGAAAAGACAAUAUGCCCUUACCAUCGCUAUAGAUUGAGUUUGUGUUGGACGUCCCCCAGGAAGUGCCAGCACCCUCUUCACCGAUUAUCCUCAACGAGGAAAACGUACCGCGGUGUCGGUAGUGUAACUUCCAGGGAAGUCUACGAAACGUGGAACGUGCUGUUGCCGGUUGGGUCAGGGAUUUGUAGAGAUUGCAUACAGCAACACAAUGAAGAAGGGUUCCCUUGGCUCCCAGGCCCAGACAUUUCUAGAGCCUCUCCCUUCAACAUCAACUGGUAGGCACACUGUGCCAGCUCCAUCAAAGGUUGCUACAUGGCAGUGGUAGAAAUUCACUAAGAGGUUAUGGUGGAGAGGUUGUCAUGGCAAGGCGUAACAAAGUUCACUAACUUUGUCCACCAGCAUGAUGGGCUAGAGGUAACAUGUGGUUACAAGAUUGGUACUCCACAGCGCUUUUCCUACAAGACACUGUUGAAGAACAAGAAGGCACAGGACACAACCAAAGUGGCCUUUGCUGUGGAGUA